rnacentral:rRNA from 1 species
AGUCAAUAGAUACCCCGGUAGUCCACGCCGUAAACGAUGAGUACUAGGUGUAGGAGGUAUCGACUCCUUCUGUGCCGCAGUUAAACACAAUAAGUACUCCGCCUGGGAAGUACGGUCGCAAGAUUAAAAACUCAAAGGAAUUGACGGGGGCCCGCACAAGCAGCGGAGCAUGUGGUUUAAUUCGAAGCAACGCGAAGAACCUUACCUAGACUUGACAUCUCCUGAAUAGCGCAGAGAUGCGUGAAGCCCUUCGGGGCAGGAAGACAGGUGGUGCAUGGUUGUCGUCAGCUCGUGUCGUGAGAUGUUGGGUUAAAGUCCCGCAACGAGCGCAACCCCUAUUAUUAGUUGCUACCAUUAAGUUGAGCACUCUAAUGAGACUGCCCGGGUUAACCGGGAGGAAGGCGGGGAUGACGUCAAAUCAUCAUGCCCCUUAUGUCUAGGGCUACACACGUGCUACAAUGGUGAGAACAACGAGAUGCAAUACCGCGAGUGAGCAAGACUUGAAAACUCAUCUCAGUUCGGAUUG